CCCAAACCAAAUAUAAAGCAGACUUGGUUGGGAGGAAAGGAAGAAUCAAUUCCUUUUUUACACAAUGUCUUGCUAAUCACUGAAUGCCAAGUUCUGGGAGUAGAACUGAAUAUAACAGCAGAUUCCUGCUCCAUGGAGCUUACGGUGGAAAAUAGCUCAAUAGAAGAUUACAACUGAUAAGGCAGUCUAGAAUAAGAACUGAGAGCUCUGGAACCUGGCAGAAUUUGGUAAAAAUCUGCUACUUAUCAUCUGUGUGAUCUUGAGCAAAUGACCGACUGCUUACUAUGCAAAGGACUGUGCUAAACUCUUCAAGUUCAUCUUCUCUUCCAGUGCUAACCUCUUUGUGUGCAUUAUCACACAUACCAAAUGCUAAGCUUUUUAUGUGAAUUAUCCCAUUUAAUCCUCAGAACAAUCCUAUGAGUAAGUAUUAUUAUCCCAGUUUUACGGAUUAGCACCUAGCUCAUUAGGCUGUUAAGAGAAUUAAAACAUAUAAUCCAGAUAAAGAGCUUGAUCCUGCAUCCAGCUCAUGGUAAGUGCUGACUCAAUGGUAAUGGUAGUGUAGAUUACUCCAAAUUCAGGUCCUGAAACAAGAUUAUGUGCGCAAGUAGUUUGUUUGGGAAAGAAUGUAAGGAGCUGUGAGAGAGUAACUAAAUGAAGUCACAAAGGGAAAGGAAGAAGCUAAUAAAGAGUGUGUUGAUGAGCAGGUUACUUCUGUGGACAACUGGGGCUCGACCCCACUUGGGUCUCUCUGAGACACAGUGGAGAGCACACCUCAGGAUUGUCCCAAUAGAGCUACAAAGAUGGGUUAUUUAUCUACCAACUCUUAUGGCUCAUUGUUUAGGGUUAACCUUACAGAGCUUCCUCCCUGGGUGUGAGUCAAACAUGCUCUAUGACCAAUGAACAUCUUCAAGCAAAGGCACAGGAAGCUCUCGAAUAGAGGAAAUGUCUGCAGAUGACUCAGAGUGAGGACAAGAGAGGAGAAGGGACUUGGCCAAAGCCACCGAGGUCUUCAAAGGAAGAGUCAGGAUGAGCACCGGUCGUCCUGAGUCUCAGACGUGUGUUUUCCAUGCUUUCAACUGAAUAAACACAGGCAUUUUCCAGCUGUGUCUUCAUGUACCUGUGUGUAGCUCGUUUCCAAGACGUGGCUUAUGACUGAGGAAAUGCUGGGAACACGUGCUGUUAAAGGGUCGCAGGAGUUUCUAUUAGCGUUUCACAAAUAUCCUCUCCCCGGGUCCUUGGCCAGGUGUGUGCUAAUGCUGUUAGCUCCGCUCUACGGGGAGAUGGACACCCAGAGGCUGACCGGCUCUGCAGCAGCUGGGUCGGGAGGAAUGACUAGGCUAGCGAGACCCAUGUCCUGGGAGAACCACCACCUGGGGACUAUCCUUUUGAUCUUGUUAAUCUUAGAAGGAUCUGCAUUGCUGGUUUCUGCAUUGUUUCUCAUUUCCUUCCUUUAUUCAUUCAUUCAUUCAUUUCAGACGAGGUCCCCAGCUUCAGGGAAUUGUGAUGGAAUUUGAAGCAAUCAGUAUUUUCUUGCUUAUAUGUUAGAUGCAAGAACGUGAACACUUUAUUUGUCUCCUGCAGAAAUAUAAAAAGAAAGUUAGUGACUUCAGCUUUUAGGUACAAACAGGAAGAAUGAUAGAAUCACUGGGUCAGAAAAACUCAGUAUCCCAGAGUCAUUA
ensembl:lncRNA